UUAAUGUUUCAGCCUUUGACAGAGGAUCCCUUUGUCGUCUGCCUGCUCGGUUGACGAACUUCUCCUUUUUUGGCAAAUUAUGCCCAGGGCAGGAAGAACGGGGCCAGAGCCUGCGAUUGGCAUUCCUGACCUGGAUCGCAAUUUUUUUGUUGGACUCGUGCCGCUAGAAGUCGAUGGAAUGGCCUCGUGGUCUUCCGUCGCUUCUUGUCUCUCACGUGCGAGACGUCUUUCCACCUCUGCCAUGAAUUUUGUGUCCGUAAAUCUACGGUAGCACGUGUGAUGGAAGCCAGCAUCCUCGGGAAUAUUGUCAAACUCCAUAUCAACACAGUGUUUGAAGUGCAGCCACGUCCCGAGACUCUCCGUCCAACCCGAGCCACGUGUGUCGGCUUGUCCUGUAUGUAAUCCAUCGUGUAGUGGUGAAAUAAUGUACCUCCUCGUGCUUGACUGAAGUAAUAUGCAUAAAACAAUGUUUGUUUUUUGAUGUAUUAAAUUAUUAAUAUAUUCCGAUGUAUUUUCUUCGUCUUCCGUACUGCUCGAGGACGCCAUCUUGCCAUUCUGUUGACAAAAAGCAGCUACCUCAUUGGUGUAGAACGAUCACGUGUCGAACCGUGCCACCCCUCGUGACCAAGAUCCUAUUACGCUCUGGAGAAACUAGUUCGGCAUAAAACAUAGUCGCAUCGAGAAUCGACGGCAAAUUUAGCGACGGACUUUUUUUUGGUAGCUAAGCACGACUCUUUCUUUUUUAUGAACUAAAUAUUGUGUAGAUGCGCGACUGUGGGUGUGGCGCGGGAUUCAUUUUCUAAAGGACUUUUCGUGGUUCACCUUGCGGCCUACAUGUCCGUUAGGUCCCCAUCUACAGAGAACCGCCCGUCGCUCGAGGGAAGUGAAGAAGAGCCAGGAUCCAGUCGACCGAUUGAACGUAGAGGACUACGACGACAGGCGGCGCCCGCCGGUGUGGCCCGAAGCAUCCGGCGUGAACCAUCCGUGGACAAAGUCCCGCCGCCGCCCACCUGCCUCUGGUCUCCUGAAGCGAGACGGAGAAAAUGAUCAUCCGUCUCCACAGUGACUUAGUCAAGAACAUAUCUGAAAACAUCUUUUGAUUUCUUUUGUAGCCAAUUAAUGAAAAUGAAAUAAAUUGUUCACCUUA